rnacentral:rRNA from 1 species
AUGGAAGCCGCCGACGCGAGCUCCCAGGCAUGCGUCUACGACGCCCUCCCGGGUCUUACCCUGGACUUCUCCCCGGAGGAGGACCUCGACGCGCCCGAGCCCCGGUCCUCCUCCUACCCUGCCGCCGCGGAGGAGGACUCGACCGCGACAUAUGCCGUCUUCCGGAACGAGAUUACGGCUGCCGGGGACCCCCUUGUCGACAUCCCCGCCGCCGAUUUCUUCUCCCUUGACGUCUCGGGGGCCGUCAGGGGCGAGCCGGCCUCCCCGUCGUCGGUGGCGGCGCGGCCUGCCGCGGCGGCGACGCCCUCGAGCUCCCUCGCCCCGACGGAGCAGCCGGCGCAGGGGUCGGAGCGCGCGUGGUUCCGAGGAGGGAGGCGGUUCAGGAGCCCCAUGCUGCAGCUACACAAAGAGAUUCUCGACUUCUGUGAUUUUAUCUCACCUUCUGCCGAAGAGCAAUCUUCACGAACAGCUGCUGUGCAAGCUGUCUCUGAUGUUGUCAAGCAUAUAUGGCCUCAUUGCAAGGUGGAAGUCUUUGGAUCUUUCAGAACAGGGCUCUAUCUACCAACAAGUGAUAUUGAUGUUGUAGUAUUUGAGACCAGGGCUAAGACUCCUCAAGGCCUAUAUGCUCUUGCGAAAGCAUUAUCUCAAAAAGGUGUUGCCAAAAAGAUACAGGUAAUAGCAAAGGCACGUGUGCCAAUCGUGAAAUUCGUGGAAAGAAUUAGUGGAAUACCUUUUGACAUCAGCUUUGAUAUUGAUGGUGGACCACAAGCAGCGGACUUCAUCAAGGAUGCCAUCAAGAAGAUGCCUGCUUUAAGACCUUUGUGUAUGAUUCUGAAGGUUUUCCUUCAUCAAAGAGAGCUCAAUGAGGUCUAUACUGGUGGGGUUGGAUCAUAUGCUCUUCUCACAAUGCUGAUCACACAUUUACAGUUGAUCUGGGGAGUGAAAGAUAUGCUGGGCUAUCGACAAUCCAAGGAACACAAUUUGGGAAUUCUUUUGAUCAAGUUUUUUGACUUUUAUGGACGCAAGUUGAACUAUACGGAUGUUGGAAUAUCCUGCAACUCUGCAAGAACCUUUUUCUUGAAAAGUGAUAAAGACUUUGUGAAUCUUGACCGGCCACAUCUUAUAGCCAUUCAAGAUCCAAUGGUACCAGAUAAUGAUAUUGGGAAGAAUUCCUUCAACUACUUCAAGGUGAAAUCAGCAUUUUUGAAGGCUUAUUCUGUGUUAACUGAUGGCAAGUUGAUUACUAGCUUGGGACCAAACAGGAGCAUUCUGGGCACCAUUGUCAGACCGGAUUCGGUGCUCCUCGACCGUAAAGGCUGGAACACUGAUGGUGUGUUGGCUGACAUGUUAGCAGAACCCUGGGAACUGUUGCCCCAACCGUUUGACAGUGAGAAUGACGCAUUGUAUAACUGGCACGCGUUAGACGACGAUGAACCACUGCCCAGAAACACUCAACCUGCAUCCGAGGACACUAGUUCGUCACCACUGGGGAAACGCAAGUCCUCCUCCAAGUCAAAAAAGAAAUCACGAAAGAAGGCAAAGGCCGAUGCAUCAAGCAGUGAUGAUACCGAAGAGGGGUCCGGAAAGGGAAGAGAGCACGGCCGGGGCAAAGGGUCAGCACAUAGUGAAAAGUCGCGUCGCAGUGGGGGAAGCAGCAGAAGAAGGAAAGGGGCGCGAGAGUAUGACAGAUUUACAAACACGCUCCCACAGUACACGCACAUUAGCAGAUGGUGA